rnacentral:sRNA from 1 species
ACAGAACCGCCGUGGGUUGAGGAGAGCC